UGAGGAAUAUUGCACAAUGGGCGAAAGCCUGAUGCAGCAACGCCGCGUGAGGGACGAAGGCCUUCGGGUUGUAAACCUCUUUUCUGGGGGAAGAGAUAGGACGGUACCUCAGGAAUAAGUCUCGGCUAACUACGUGCCAGCAGCCGCGGUAACACGUAGGAGGCAAACGUUAUCCGGAAUUACUGGGCGUAAAGCGCGCGUAGGCGGCUCUGUAAGUCCGACGUGAAAGCUCCCGGCUUAACUGGGAGAGGUCGUUGGAUACUGCAAAGCUCGAGGUUAGGAGAGGAAAGUGGAAUUCCCGGUGUAGUGGUGGAAUGCGUAGAUAUCGGGAGGAACUCCAGUGGCGAAAGCGACUUUCUGGCCUACACCUAACGCUGAAGCGCGAAAGCGUGGGGAGCGAACAGG
rnacentral:rRNA from 1 species